GUUGGCCAUGAAAACAGCAGAGCAUCGUCUAACACAGCACUGGAAGAGAAACAGCUGGAUUCAGACUAAACUGGCUGAUGCUGCGGGCGUUUUCUGUGCAAGGAGGAGGAUUACGGCAGAAUAGACUUCAGUUUUCAGGCCCGGAGCAGAAAUGGGAGAGUUCCUGCUCUACGUAAUUUGAUAGACGAGUUGGCCAGCACCCACUGUGGGAAUUAAGCAAAGCCUGAGCUGCGGAGACAGUAGGAAACAACCUUGAGUGACUGGUGAAGAGCGGCCUCAUUUCACCCGGAGACAGGCCCAGCCCCAGCUCCACAACUCCGAGUGGAAGGCUGGUGUGUGCCAGGUGGACUGCUGACAUUUCUCUCUCAGCCUCUUCCUCCAAAAGGCAGGACCAACAGACCCUGGGUCCUUGCCCUGCCUCACCUGGAGCUGGGGUAUCUAACUGUUGAGAAGGGAGUGACUGUAACUGUGUCCCCACCAGCCUAGGUCUUAUUUCCUUGAGCCCUCCGGUAAGAACACCAGCAAAGGAUCUCGUUGGUUGAGUUCACUUGUUUGUUGAGCUAACUCAGAGGGAACAAGGGUCUUUCAACAGAUGGGAGUGGUGUUGUACAAAUGGGUGUUUUAUGGGCCAUGUGCAGAAACUGACUGCUUGUGGAAGGCUGCGCCAAUCUGCAAAGGGGCCAGUUGCAAAGGAGAAACUUCUAGGUCCUUUCAUCAUGAUGGGGAUUGUUAACUCUGACUUCAGAUAAGCAGAACAAACAAACCUCAGCCCACGUGGGGACUGGUUCUGCCCCCAUUCUUUGCUUUUCUAAGCCAUCAAAGCCAAGUUCCUAAAGCCUGACUGUCUCACGGUACUUUCUGAUGGUUUCUUUGUUUUGUUUAUUGUGCUUAUGACAAGUGCUAACAGACCGCUUUCAAAGUGUGUUGAUAUUUCGGUUGUUUUUGAAUGGCCCUUCUGUUUUUCUGCAUCUGGACAGCAUUAGAGUCUGGCCCCAGGGAACCACUGGGUUCCUAUAAAAGUGUACCAGGUCCCCUUUUGCAGCAAACACUGGCCAUGGCAAGAUCAGACACUCCAUCUGGGCAGGAACAAACACCCCAAACCAGAGCAGAAUCAUGAGACAGUUGUUAGCAGAAGGGAAGAAGGCCCAGGCUGGGAAGGGCCAGCGAGCCCUGCCAGCUGGACCCGGGGUGUUCUUUCUGUCCAAGGGCAUAUUGGGAUUUUCCCAUGGGAGGACUCCAUCUAGCAGAGGGCCGGGCACAGGGCGAUGCCACUAAGUGCUGGUCGUGGAUAGGUUCCCUCUCUCUUUGUCUUCUCCCAGGGUGCCUGCUCAACCACCAGUGACCAGAUAGGGGGCUCUGGGCAUUAGACAAGAAACAAGAGCUGGAAGAGAGAGAAGAGCCUGGAGCCUGGGGCUGACCCGAAGAGGCAGGGCAGCCCCAGGGCGGCCUGCACUGCAGCUCCCGACCUGCUUCCCUUCACGGCUCUCUUUGGGGAUCUUUUGGGAACAGAGUGGGGUGGCACUGUCCUCAUAAGAUUGAUGUUUGUUUUUCUGGCCUUUCCCUUUCUACUUCUCCUGAUCUGCCCCAUCCCCACGCCUGCCACAUACUGCCUUAGAACCAGCUUCCUCCAUGAGAGAGAAUCUCGGGGUACAGACCAGGUGCAGAGGGAAUGAGUUACCCAUACAGUCGCGCUUGGAGUGGCAGGGCCCCUUUCCGACUGAUCUCCAGGGAAGGCUGUGGCUCAGCUUGAGAAGGCCCUGCCUCUACCCCUAUAUUUAGCAGGGCCCUGGAACUCGCUCUCAGAGUCAAAUGGGGUAGAGAUUGAGAGGGCCGACAGUGAGCUCUGAUGCCUCAGUGCUGCAGCUGGAGGGGAUCCAGGCCGUCCAGAUGAGGGAAAAGUGAGCUCUGUCGGCUGGUCCUCAAACAGAACCACAGGAGGCCUGUAGACCUACGGACAAGAACUGCAUUGGUUGUUGGUUCCAGCAAGGAGACAAAGACAGACUCCGGGUCCAGGGCCCGGCACACCCAGACAGGCCGGGCUGAUUGGCCUCUGAGAAGCUGAAAGGCAUGAAUAUUCUAUAAGAAGAACAUUUCCUGUUUUCCAAUGUGAUUCUCUAAAUGGGGGAGAUAGAGAACUGUGGUGUUCUGUCUGUCACACAGUCGGUGUGUGUGUGCGCACGAGUGUGUGUGAAUGCUUGUCAUUUUGAAAAAUUUCAAAUUUUAUGUAGCAGUUUCUUUCUCACCAGGGUCCCCUGCUUGUGUGAAACUUUAAUUUUAUAGCUUUGGCUGUUAAUUCAUCAUGGGGACCACCAUCAAUAAAUACUUAUUGAGCUUUCA